AGACAGCAAAUAGUAGACAUGAGAGAUAAUUGCAGAGCUUGCAGCUAUUUUUUAUGCGUUCUCCGUAUUUACAGAAAAAACGGUCUUGAAUUUUCAUCCAAAAACUAAAGGAUGCGAGCAGUCUCCAUCAUCAGGACUUAAUGUUUUGCCAUGAUCCGUGAUGUGAUUGGAGAACCACCUCCAAGAUUACCGGACAAAGGCAUCAGGUGAAUAAUGAUUCGUCCCGGCACAGGAACGACUCUGACAAUAACCUCCUGAUUCCUAUCGGCCCUGUGUCCGGCAGCAUUCCAUCACUCUCCAACGAUAUCGAUCUGGCCGUCUGCCUCAUCAAUGGACUCGUAUGACUGAGGACAACCGUGGGCCGACGUGCUGCAGCAUACGGACAAAAUGCAUUUCAUCUCCAGAGCACUUGGUUUUUCUGUCUGGUUUCGAGGCCGUUUCAAGUUCGAUUAGGGGAGUGCUGGGGUAACACUGCAGUCUAAUUCUUGAGGCACCUUCCAUAAAAGCCAAAUAUAGUUCCAUCGAUCCAUUGACGAAACCUCGAGACGGACGUGUAGACGCCGGGGUACUGGGCAUCAGCGCAGCCGUUUCCCCAGGAGACGAUCCCAUAGACACGGCCCUCACACACCAGCGGUCCUCCGGAAUCACCCUGCGCAAAAAAAAACAGUCAUAUUAAUGUGAUUUUGGACAGGGAGGUCAGUGGAGAGCGAUCAAACGAAUACGCAUCAUGUUCUCUGUGAUGUUUCCAUUAAAAGAGUCCGUGCCGUUACACACUGCGGUGGACACGAUGGGCAGUUUGACCGUGUGCAGGGUCUCGGGGAUUCCUCCCGUCGGAGUGGUGAAGCCCCAGCCGGACACGGUGCACAGGCGACCCACGGCCACCACAGCGUCCUGCCGAGUGUGCUGCGGUCAAGAUCCAGUAUUUGUUAAUCAAGGUCCCUCCACAGAAGUGCUGGCCCGUGGCGGUCUGAAUAGACACGAUGUACUUGAUGGAGUACGGCGCUGGGACGUAUCCACCCAC